CGGUAUGGAGGACGGUGGAACUCAGGAGGCCGUGAGUGAAGCAGAGAUCUGGACUAGAACCUUGGUUCUGUCCUAAUGCUGCCACAGCUGUCUUCUUUCUGAGUCCUUCUGCGGGGCCUUGCAUACAGUCUACAGGAGACCUUACUUUCUGUCAAUGUCACAGGCCGGGACUCUCAUUUUGAGGCCCAGCAAGGAAAACAGAUUUUCAGAACAUGGCUGAAAGCUUUCAUGGAGUGAUGUCACCUGCUGGAAAGUGCCUUGAUCUUGACACCAGAUUCCUGACUUAAUUGAAGAAAAAUCACUUAACCUCUCUGAACCUGAACCUACUUUGUGACAUGGAACUCAUGAUAAUCUAUGCUUUUGGUCUCAACGGUGGUUGAGAGAUUCACAGGAAGCAAUGGAUGUGAAAGUUCUGUGUAAGCCCCAGCACAUGGCUACAGGUAUAAGAGCCUGGACUCUUAGUCUCUUCUAAAACAGACUUAAUGGAAAAGGAUCUGAUAAAUUCAGGCAUACUGAACUUAGUCCUGCGAUGUCUCAGAGUGUCAAAGCUCUUGCCAUGCAAACCCGACAACCUGAGUUUGAGCCCCAGAACCCAUGGCGGAAGGAGAGAACCAGUUCCCGAAAGUUAUCCUCUGAUUUCUGCAUGCUCUGGUGAUACCUCACCACUAACGCGCGCGCGCAAGCACACACACACACACACACACACACACACACACACACACACACACACACAUCACACACACACACAUCACACACAUACACACACACAUCACACACACACAUAUCACACACAUACACACACACAUAUCUCACACACACACACACACACACACAUCUUUCCCACACAAAUAAAGAAAUACUGAUAUUGUGAGGAGUGAAGAGAAUACAAAGUGAAGAAACACUGACUAGUGAAGAGAACACAACUUUUUUUCACCCAAGAGUUAACUGACAAGAAACUUGGGAGAGUCUAUCCUUGAGAACGAGUGCAUGAUUUUCAAGGCCCAGUGCAACAUGAAUAUAUGGGCCCCCUUUUAAAAGCCGAAUGAAUAAUGAGAUUGAACAAAG
rnacentral:lncRNA from 1 species